GCAAGCUAAUUAAAGAGUAUAUAGAUUUUCAAAAAUCAUAUGUCGAUGAAAAUGAAACUAGAGAUGAAGAUCAAGUCAAGGUCAAAUGGAUUCUCAUAUCAAUUACUAAUAGGUGUUGCUCUUGGUCCUUAUUUCUAUGUUUAAAUAGUAAAGCAAUCUUCAACAAAACAAAAAUGGUACAUAUGUCAAAUAUUAAUUCAUCAAGCACCAUUUAACAGAAAUUUUUCUAGUUGCCCAAGAUAAAAUAGAGUGGACUCUGAUGUCUUGGUAGGUUUGACUUUUUCUUCUAUAAGCUCAGAUUCAUGAUCAUAAGAGAUCUUCACAUUCACCAAAGUUUUAUUCUCUGAUAUUGCUGAGAAUUGGAAAGUUGUCUUGUAGUAUGACAAGCCUUGAUUCAGAUAGCCUCCUUCAACCACUUGGAGCCCAAUUGUAUGAGAUAACUCAUCAUACUCAGUGAUCACCUCCCUUUGAUAAUUUACUGGGGCUAUACCUAAGAUAUAAUAAUUUGAUUAAUUAAAAUAUUUAUAUUAUAUUCUUUUCAAAAGAAAAAUUCGAAAGAAGUAAAUCGCUAUUAACAUAAAUGACAUUAAUGAUUAUUUUACAACGAUGUUUUAGGGCAUUUAAAAAACAGGCGAUGCAAUCAAAAUCCCAGCGAGGGCCGUGACCUAGAGAGAGAAGGUAUACUUACCAGGCAAAAAAUUAAAGAUGAGUUUGGUACCAACCCCUCCAUCCCCUUCAAUUACUUGCACAUCUUUCACAAUAUUUGGUAGAACCUUUGGAACAACUAAGGUGAUAUCCUUGGACUGAGCAGCCCAGAGGGCCUCUAACCCUACAUUCAGUGUUGUUUGGGUGUUGAAUUCCUUUAUCAUGAUUCUUCAAGGUGUGUUUCAACUAAGAC
rnacentral:lncRNA from 1 species